rnacentral:tRNA from 1 species
UAUAAUUUAGUGUAUGGGGCACAAAGACCUUUGAAGUCUUAAGAAUGAGUUCAAUUCUCUAAAUUAUAA